CCUACGGGUGGCUGCAGUGGGGAAUAUUGCACAAUGGGCGCAAGCCUGAUGCAGCCAUGCCGCGUGUGUGACGAAGGCCUUCGGGUUGUAAAGCACUUUCAGCGGGGAGGAAGGCGGUGAGGUUAAUAACCUCAUCGAUUGACGUUACCCGCAGAAGAAGCACCGGCUAACUCCGUGCCAGCAGCCGCGGUAAUACGGAGGGUGCAAGCGUUAAUCGGAAUUACUGGGCGUAAAGCGCACGCAGGCGGUCUGUCAAGUCGGAUGUGAAAUCCCCGGGCUCAACCUGGGAACUGCAUUCGAAACUGGCAGGCUAGAGUCUUGUAGAGGGGGGUAGAAUUCCAGGUGUAGCGGUGAAAUGCGUAGAGAUCCGGAGGAAUACCGGUGGCGAAGGCGGCCCCCUGGACAAAGACUGACGCUCAGGUGCGAAAGCGUGGGGAGCAAACAGGAUUAGAUACCCGAGUAGUC
rnacentral:rRNA from 1 species